rnacentral:misc_RNA from 1 species
AAAGUCGUAACAAGGUCUCCGUAGGUGAACCUGCGGAGGGAUCAUCAAAGAAUUUUCCAUAAAGUGCUACUUUUUUCUUUCUUUUCGAAAGAGAGGAAGGGGAAGAGUGGUACUUUCAAACAAACGAUCACAACUAUUGAAAAAAAGAGAGAGAGAUUGGAUUGGAAUUUGACUUGGUUGGGGAUAGACAGAAAAGUGUUUGCCUGAUAAUUUUGAUUGGAAAAAGAAAAAUACACAACUUUCAACAACGGAUCUCUUGGCUCUC